rnacentral:tRNA from 1 species
GAAGGUAUAGCUCAGUGGUAGAGUGCAUGCUUAGCAUGCACGAGGUCCCAGGCUCAAUCCUCAGUACCUCCA